UUAACAUUUCUAAUGACAAUCUUUUAAAAUGGUUUUCACUUACUCAUCAUGUGAAAUGCUCCAUGCAUAUGUUGAUAUAUCCUUGUGCAGCUUCGAUGCAUUCGACUCGUAGACAGCUUCAUCAUAGGGGCUUGUAAGUUUCCACAUUACCCAAGUCGAGUAUUUCAUCUGGUUCCAAAUGCUUCUCCUCCUGCAUUACUGAAUCAGCAGCUUGUGUCUUCACUGAAUCUGUCUUCACCGAAUCAUUAUUAUUCAACCUGAAACCAUUAAAAAUCAUUUUGGUUUUCAGACAUCACAUACCAAAACCAUUCUAGAUCCUACAAUUUAUGUACUCUUUUUAUAAAUUGUCGAUUUCAGCAAAGAGAGUGGGAUAGUAUUCUUUCCAGGAAGAGAUCAUAAUGGAGAUUAUGUUCCCUUAUAUCCUAGAACAGGUCUUGCUAAGGGCGCAGCGGUUGGUAUAUCUAUAGCAGGAAUGUUCGGGUUUGUAUUAUUUGUUAUCUGUAUAUAUGUUAGAUACACUAAGAAGAAGGAAGAAGAGAAAGAUAAACUUCCUCAAACUUCUAUGAAGCUUUCAACUCAAGAUGGUAAUGGUAUAUUUUUUCGUAUUCAGAUUCUUUCCAAGUUCUUAUCAACUACUUAU